rnacentral:rRNA from 1 species
AAUCAACGCUGGCGGCGUGCCUCAGACAUGCAAGUCGAACGAUUAAAGCUCUCUUCGGAGAGUGCAUAGAGUGGCGCACGGGUGAGUAACACGUAAGUAAUCUACCCUCGAGUGGGGAAUAACGUCCGGAAACGGGCGCUAAUACCGCAUAAUGCAGCGGCAUCAUAAGAUGACAGUUGUUAAAGAUUUAUCGCUUGAGGAGGAGCUUGCGGCAGAUUAGCUAGUUGGUAAGGUAACGGCUUACCAAGGCUACGAUCUGUAACCGGUCUUAGAGGACGGUCGGUCACACUGACACUGAAUAACGGGUCAGACUCCUACGGGAGGCAGCAGUCGGGAAUUUUGGGCAAUGGGCGAAAGCCUGACCCAGCAACGCCGCGUGAAGGAUGAAGUAUUUCGGUAUGUAAACUUCGAAAGAAUAGGAAGAAUUAAUGACGGUACUAUUUAUAAGGUCCGGCUAACUACGUGCCAGCCGCCGCGGUAAAAC